GCGACGGUGACGGUGGGUCCGUGAGACGAGCCUCUUAUUUCUUCCCCAGAUUCCCAACCGGCAUGUCCCUGAUCCCGCGCGCUGCUCCGGCGGCGAGCAUGGCGUUCGCCGGACGGGACCCCGCUGUCAUCCCCCUCCUCAAGAUGCUACCGCUGCUCGGUCUCCUCGCCAUCUCCUCGGCCGCAGAGCCCCCGGCGGCGUCGUCUCCCUCCGCCGUGCACAACAACAACUGGGCCGUGCUCGUCUGUACCUCCCGCUUCUGGUUUAAUUAUAGACAUAUGGCCAACACGCUGUCUUUGUACAGGACUGUUAAGAGAUUAGGAAUACCUGACGAGAGGAUAAUACUUAUGUUGGCUGAUGAUAUGGCUUGUAAUCCUCGGAACAAUUAUCCUGCCCAAGUGUUCAACAAUGAGAACCACCAGAUUAAUCUUUAUGGUGACAAUGUUGAGGUUGAUUACCGAGGUUAUGAGGUUACAGUUGAAAACUUUUUGCGAGUUUUGACUGGAAGACAUGAGAGCGCUGUACCAAGAUCAAAGCGUCUCUUAAGUGAUGAAGGAAGCCAUAUUCUUUUGUACAUGACUGGACAUGGUGGGGAUGAAUUUUUGAAGUUCCAAGAUAACGAAGAACUUCAGAGCCAUGAUUUAGCAGAUGCAGUAAAGCAAAUGAAGAAGCAUAGAUUUAAAGAGUUGUUGAUAAUGGUAGAUACCUGCCAGGCUGCUACUCUUUUUUCACAGCUUCAAUCACCUGGUGUUUUGGCGAUUGGUAGCAGCAUGAAGGGGGAAAACUCUUACUCUCACCAUCUCGACUCAGACAUUGGUGUUUCUGUUGUGGAUAGAUUUACCUUCCAUACACUUGCUUUCUUUGAGAAGCUGAACAUGUAUAGCAAUGCUUCAUUGAACAGUCUUUUCAACUCAUACGACCCUUCUAUGCUGCUGUCUACUGCAUAUUAUCGAAUGGAUCUUUACAAGCGUGCAUUAAACGAGGUCCCAGUGACAAAUUUCUUUGGAUCAGUCAUGAAGACUAUCCACACUGAUUCAGCCUACACAGGCUUUCUAGCUGCACAUGAUGCGGAACUCCCCUUUUCUGUCGGAAAUAAUAUACUUGAUCAUGUCAUGUUGCAGAAUGAGGCUAGUGCAAGAAGAUCGAACAUAGAAGAGAUGAAUGAGGCACAAUUAACGUCCCAUGGAUGGACAGAGGUCCUGCUAGAGCAGCUGGAAGGCAAAAAUUCUGAUGUUGUUGUGAUGUAUUGUCUGGGAACUAUGGGCAUAUUGCUGGCAAUUUCAACCUGGCUAUCAAUGUAGGAACUCUGAAGUGUGCUCUUAACACAUCUUCUUGCAGAAAACUUGGUCAUACUAACUUUCACAGGAUGGGACCAAGAAGAACGAAAAUAAGAGAGAUACUUUGGAGGGUUUUCAGCUGGAUGCUAUUUUAUUGAUCAUGUUAAUGCCAGAAUCAUGUAUCUCUUGUUUUGAGCGGUUAUGACAUGCCGAUUAUUAUAACUUAUGGAAUUAUGAGGUAUAUGCUAUAGAACUCUGUCAAACGGCAAAUAGCAGUUAUAAACUCAUUUGUAAACCACUAAACAAUGAGAAGAUUGGCAUUUCCUCUGAUAAGACUGGGGAAGUCUGUGGUGCUUCUUCUCAGCAGGCUGAGCUGACUGUUUGUGGCUGCAACCUAUGCAUGGCUGGGAUCAAGAGAAGGGAAAAAUUCUUGAAUAUCACUGAUGGAUCCUUCCUCUAUAUAUUUAGCUCAGGAAGAAAAUUCACAUGGGUAAUCGAUGAUAAAAAGUUUGUGCCCAUGUAUUUUGUCAUCACCUAUGUUUGAGGGGUCCUUUGUAUUAAUUAUUAUUGACUUUAUUCUGGCCCUAGUAUCUGUCCUAUUUAUGUUGUGACAAAGUGGGAAUGGUUGUCCAUUGUGGCAGUAGCCGAAAGUCCAUCACAGACAUCGAUAUUGUCAUGCCUAUUGGGGGACUUCCAUGCAUCUACAAGAGUAUGCAACAAUGAAAAGAAAAAAGUUCUGAUUGCACACCUACCAGAUCCGUUAUACAUGAUCAAUUUUGAUCUUAGAGCGACCUGAGUUCAGGACAUCUCCAGUACUUAUUGUACAAUAACAACACAGUGGGUGGUUUAGGGUGUAAUUUUGAAUGCAUUGCUGCAUAAUAUUUUCUAUAAAUCAGAUCCGAUAGUGAGUGCAAGUUAUUACUGGAGUUACAUCGAAAAUCUGAGCAAAAGCGUGUUUGCUGUCUCAGCUUUUCUCUCUCAAGCUAUGGUCCCAGAGAUCUACACUUCACCUCAGGAAAUGUCUGGAUGCCACUAUAUUAGAUGUCUUUGCUGGAUGCCCAUUGCUCAGUAAUAGCAGUUAAUUGUGUUGUCCUUUCUGGAGCUCAGUUGUUCCUUGUACUGACUGAGCAGUUGGCAGUGUGUCGCAGGGAGAUGUAUGAGGGUGUGAACGAGCUGCAGGGCCGACCAACCAUAAUGACAGCAAUAGGUAUGGAUCUGUGGCAUUUUCUGGACUCAGAUACCGGCUUGUUGGCUAUGAAAGGUUUGUGGCUGGCUCAGUUUGGAAGAAGCCGAAGCUUGAAUUGGUUGUAUUGGGGCAGUACACAUGAGACAUCAGUGAUCAUCAUGCCACCAACUCCCUGUUACAUCAACCACGAACCAGUAUCCCGGAUGUCAGUGUGCAGGGCAUUUCCAGGAAUAUGUUGGCAUGCACAGAUGCUCGGUAUCCUUGUCUUAGGGUUGGAUGCUGGAAAUGCCAAGAAUUGGCUGAUCAUAUUGUCUAUUCUUCUGUUUCUGCCAGUGAGGUAAGAGGCUGUGUUAUCAAAGAUGUUGGUUUCUGGAAGGGCACAAUGAUUUCGUGGCGAUGAGAGUUGCCUAAAGUAAAGAGGAUGGACGGUUGGAACUUGGAAGGGACAUAAUGUUAUGCAAGUUGCUUGCAAGAGUUCAGUUGCAUGAGAUGAUAUCCUUAUCCAGAGCCAUCAGCGCGGCAUCUUCUUUCGUCACUGUUAGUGGGGGUUGAAUUCUGUUGCCGAAGAAGCAAGCAUGAGCUAAAUUUAUUGAUAUUUGAUAACCAAAGGUGAUCUGAUAGAGUGUGAAGUUAGGCAAAAAGGGCCCGAGCCAGAGUCUUAUGCAUUCUCGCAGCAUGCUUUUUCAUAGCUCAAACCUACACGCUAACAAGGUACUCCGCUGCUCGAUAUUUUUCUGCCUUGAUUGUCUGAAAUAUCACGCAAAGAAAAGGAGCACGGUUCUCCCAGUCCUGGUCCAUGCUCCUACAAGGUUGUUUAGUGGGUGAGCGAUAGGGUGAUCUGCCUUGCAUGAUUUGCCUUGCACUUGCACUUUUCAUCUUGUGAGUAACUAUGUUGGAUUUGAGCCGCUCUGCGAUCCGCGGUUGAUUAUACUAUACUAGGUUUGCUUUGUGCUGGUCGACGCGCAUGCCAGGUCCACGAUACAUUUUGGGUUUUGUUGGGUGUGGAUCCACAUAACGACAGCACCAAUGCAUAUUUAUUGUUUAUAAUUGUAUCUAUCUAUCAAUC